AAUGUGAAGAAAGUUUAAUUCCAGACUCUGAAGCUUGUCUCAUAAGAAGAGGGUGCUGUCAGAGUUCUGGUCUCAGAUUCCGUGGAUGCCCUGAGAGUCUGA
rnacentral:lncRNA from 1 species